AACGAACGCUGGCGGCAGGCCUAACACAUGCAAGUCGAACGCUCCGCAAGGGGAGUGGCGCACGGGUGAGUAACACGUGGGAACCUACCUUCUGGUACGGAACAACCAAGGGAAACUUUGGCUAAGACCGUAUACGACCUCCGGGUGAAAGAUUGAUCGCCGGAAGAGGGGCCCGCGUCCGAUUAGGUAGUUGGUGAGGUAACGGCUCACCAAGCCUUCGAUCGGUAGCUGGUCUGAGAGGAUGGCCAGCCACACUGGGACUGAGACACGGCCCAGACUCCUACGGGAGGCAGCAGUGGGGAAUAUUGGACAAUGGGCGCAAGCCUGAUCCAGCCAUGCCGCGUGAGGGAUGACGGCCU
rnacentral:rRNA from 1 species